AUUGAACGCUGGCGGCAGGCUUAACACAUGCAAGUCGAGCGGAGAUGAGGUGCUUGCACCUUAUCUUAGCGGCGGACGGGUGAGUAAUGCUUAGGAAUCUGCCUAUUAGUGGGGGACAACAUUCCGAAAGGAAUGCUAAUACCGCAUACGUCCUACGGGAGAAAGCAGGGGAUCUUCGGACCUUGCGCUAAUAGAUGAGCCUAAGUCGGAUUAGCUAGUUGGUGGGGUAAAGGCCUACCAAGGCGACGAUCUGUAGCGGGUCUGAGAGGAUGAUCCGCCACACUGGGACUGAGACACGGGCCAGACUCCUACGGGAGGCAGCAGUGGGGAAUAUUGGACAAUGGGCGGAAGCCUGAUCCAGCCAUGCCGCGUGUGUGAAGAAGGCCUUUUGGUUGUAAAGCACUUUAAGCGAGGAGGAGGCUCUUAAGGUUAAUACCCUUGAUGAGUGGACGUUACUCGCAGAAUAAGCACCGGCUAACCCUGUGCCAGCCGCCGCGGUAAGAC
rnacentral:rRNA from 1 species